rnacentral:lncRNA from 10 species
UUCUCUGUCUUCUCUCUCUCCUCCCUCUUUGUCCUCUCCCCUCCUCUCUCUCUCCCUCUCUGUCUUCUCUCUGUCUCUCUUCUCUCUCCUCUCCUCUCUCUCUCCCUUUCCCCUGCCUCUGUCUCUCUCCCUCUCUCUCUGUAUUUUUUAAAAACAAGCUCUGGUCAUUUUUCUUUAUUCUUUCAUAGUCUUUACUGUGCCUGAUCUCACUGCAUAGCAGCACCCACGCUAUUCUUA